GGCCCCGUAGCUCAGCUAGGAAGAGCGCUGGCCUUCGGAGCCAGUGGUCCCGGGUUCAAGUCCCGGCGGGGCCG
rnacentral:tRNA from 1 species